rnacentral:tRNA from 1 species
GCACACAUAGCCCAACUGGCAGAGGCGGGAGACUUAAAACUUCCAAAGUGCAGGUUCAAUUCCUGUUGUGUGUACCG